rnacentral:lncRNA from 1 species
CAGCUGCAGGCCCCGGAGGGGAGAUGCCAGAGGAUGGACGGGGCCACCUUCUUGGGGUUCGGCCGGUGAUAAUACACAGACUCUGUUCCCACGUACCCCCCCCCCACGCGUUCACAGAUGACCUAUUUACAGGGCACCAGGAACCGAACUGGGGGCCUCCCGUGUGGGAGGCGGGUGCUCAACCGCUGGAGCCAGGGAGGGCCUCACACACCUGGAGAAGAAAGACAGGGUGGCAGCGAGGGAGGCGAGCUGAGCCGAUAAAUGCGAGACAAAUACCCAGAUGCGUGCAGAGUUCUCCCGUGUUCUUGUCAGGUUCUGGAAGAAGCAGAACGCACAGCCGGAACUGGACCCGCUACAGGAUUUGUGGGAUCCGGGGCAAAAUGCAAACGCGGGGCCCCUUGGUCAGAAGUUAUUUAGGGGAAGUGGACUUGGCCCAGUGGUUAGGGCAUCCGCCUACCACAUGGGAGGUCCGUGGUUCAAACCCUGGGCCUCCUUGACCCGUGUGGAGCUGGCCAUGCGCAGUGCUGAUGCGCGCAAGGAGUGCCCUGCCACGCAGGGGUGUCCCCGCGUAGGGGAGCCCCACGUGCAAGGAGUGCACCCCGUAAGGAGAGCCGCCCAGCGCGAAGGAAAGCGCAGCCUGCCCAGGAAUGGUGCCGCACACAUGGAGAGCUGACACAGCAAGAUGACGCAACAAAGAGAGACACAGAUUCCCAGUGUCACUGAUAAGGAUAGACGCGGUCACAGAAGAACACAGAGCGAAUGGACACAGAGAGCAGACAACUGCGGGGGGGAAGGGGGAGAAAUAAAUAAAAAUGAAUCUUAAAAAAAAAGUUCUUAGGAUGUCCUGCCGGAAGCAGCAGCAGAGGAGACUCGGGGUGCUUCACAGCUGGGCGCCUGCGAAGCCGGCCCUGCCCCCAGUUCCCGUCCCCAACCCCUUGCCAUGGCGACCAGAUGCUCCUCUGGGCCUCACCUGGGCGAGACUCCCGCACCCCAGUCUGGUGGGGGAGGCAGAAGUGGGCACAGGCACCCCGAGUUCCCCGGAGUUGGGGUGAGCCCGAGGGAAAGGAACCCGGGUUUUGCCUCUGAAGGAGGGCGGGUCAUUUCCAGAAGAAAGGGCAUGUCCUUGCGUAGACGAGCGCAGACAUGCAGCUCAGGGUGAAAAUAAGAAUAAAAGACCCCACUCAGUGCGGCGACUGUGCUCCAGGAUCUUUCUCCACCUUGGGGAACUUUGGGAACUGCCGUCACGCCCGCCGUAGAGAUGGGGAAACCGAGGCACAGAGAGGCCGAGUGGCUUGGCUAAAACCACAGAGCGGGC